AUGGAGUUUGGGCUUUGCUGGGUUUUCCUUGUUGCUGUUUUAAAAGGUGUCCAGUGUGAGGUGCAGCUGGUGGAGUCUGGGGGAGGCUUUGCAAAGCCUGGGGGGGGUCCCUGAGACUCUCGUCUCGUGUGCGGCCUCUGGAUUCACCUUCAGUAACUAUUGGAUGCACUAAAUCCGCCAGGCUCUGGGGAAGGGGCUGGAGUUGGGUUGGACGAAUUCAUCCUAAUGGUGAUAGCACAGGCUAUGCAGACUCCGUGAAGGGCCGAUUCACCAUCUCCAGAGACAACGCCAAGAACUCGCUGUAUCUGCAGAUGAGCAGCCUGAGAGCCGAGGACACGGCCGUGUAUUACUGUGUGAGAGACACAGUGAGGGGAGGCCCGUGUGGGCCCGGACACAAACCUCCUGCAGGGGUGCCUGGAACCAGCAGGGGGCGCUCAGGAUAA